rnacentral:misc_RNA from 1 species
AAAAAAUGGAGGAGAGAUCCCAUAUAACCAUAAUGGGGCUAUUGUUGAAGCACAACCUCUGGUCUAUGAGUGUGGUCCUUCUUGCAAGUGUCCUCCUUCUUGCUACAAUAGAGUCAGCCAGAAUGGUAUCAAGUUCCAGCUUGAAAUAUUCAAAACUGAAUCAAGAGGAUGGGGUGUGAGAUCUUUAAAUUCAAUCCCUUCAGGAAGUUUUAUCUGUGAGUAUGCAGGAGAGCUUCUUGAAGAGAAGGAAGCUGAACAAAGAAUUGGCAAUGAUGAUUAUUUAUUUGAUAUUGGAAAUAACUGCAGUGACAGUUCUCUCUGGGAUGGACUUUCAAACCUCCUAACUGAGACAAAAUUAAGUUCUUGUGAAGUUAUGGAGGAGAGUUGCUUCACCAUUGAUGCAGCAAAGUACGGCAAUGUGGGGAGAUUCAUCAAUCAUAGUUGUUCCCCUAAUCUCUAUGCGCAAAAUGUUCUCUAUGAUCAUGAGGACAAGAGAAUUCCUCACAUAAUGCUGUUUGCUGCUGAGAAUAUUCCUCCCUUGCAAGAGCUAACAUACCAUUACAAUUAUACAAUAGAUCAGGUUCAUGAUUCUGAUGGCAAUAUAAAGAAGAAGAGUUGCUACUGUGGUUCUUCAGAGUGCACUGGGAGGAUGUAUUGACGCUGUCUAGCAAAAGAGUUGGAUUUAGAAGCAGCUGUGUUUUACUUGUCAAAGGAUUCUCAUGUUUGCGACCAACGAAUCGUAACCCCAGUCAGUUGUCAUAUGUUGUGGUCAAUUAAAUUAGUGGCUCGGAAGAUCAUUUGAUAAUGUAAUCUUAGUCUUUGCAAAUUCCAAGUGUUGUUUGUUGUGAGUUCUAGGUUUGUAUAUGCACUGGUAAUUUUUAAUUAUCAUCUUUGCAACGCAUAUAAUAGAAAACAGAAGCUCUAGCGUUUUGCCU